ACCAUUCUUUCAUUUAUUCAAAAUACCCCCUAAGGCCCUCAUUACGAGGGUACUACAUGGGGGGGGGGGGUCACAGCACUGGUCAUAGAUUAUACAUCAUAUUAAAACCAAGAGAAUAGAAGAA
rnacentral:lncRNA from 1 species